UAUGGCUUUUUAUUCCUAUGUGAA
rnacentral:piRNA from 3 species